rnacentral:sRNA from 1 species
UCGAAGUGGAAGCAAUUUUGGCCUUCAUCUCAUCUUCAGCAGCAGGCUGAUCCUGCCCCAAUGGCAUGUCAACCCUGUUUUCAGUCUGACCUUCUGAGUUGAACACUUUCAGUAACUCUUUUGUACGACCAUCCCUGCAAAGAUAUUGAGCAUCCAUAAGAAUAUCACAUCAAAGAAGACACAAAAAGA